GGGCUCUGGCUGAUUUGCAUAACCAGCAGGUGUCUCCAGCAAGAGGAUAAGAGAGACCUUGGAGGAAUCCUGCUCAGCCUUGGGCCUUGGGGAGCAAAAUCAAGGCACCAGCACCAUGGCCUGGACACCUCUCCUCCUCGGAUUCCUGGCUCACUGCACAGGCUCCAUGGCCUCCUACGUGCUGACUCAGCCCCCGUCGAUGUCGGUGAACCUGGGACAGACUGCCAAGGUCACGUGUGGGGGAAACAACAUUGGAGAUAAAUAUUCGUACUGGUACCAGCAGAAGCCAGGCCAGGCCCCAGUGCUGAUCAUCUAUGAGGAUAACAAGCGGCCCUCUGGGAUCCCUGACCGAUUCUCAGGCUCCAACUCAGGGAACACAGCCACCCUGACCAUCAGCGGGGCCCAGGCCGAGGACGAGGCUGACUAUUACUGUCAGACUUAUGACAGCAGUGCUAAUGAUCACAGUGACAUGGACAGAUGGAGAAGUGAGACACAAACCCCUUCCCCGUCUGUGUCACACUGUCCUCCAGCCCCAGGAGGCCUGUGCACAGAGCAGGGAGUGGGUCUCAACCUGGUCGCCAGAUUUGAGGUCCCCAUGCCUCUCUCCCCACCAGUGCACCCGACAGGCUCUGCACAAGGACCUGCCCCCAAGCCAUGCCACAGGAUCAGCCCACAGAACCGCAGCAUGAGCCUGGCCCUCGGCUCAGCCCAGGAGAUGCUGCAGGGGUGGGACCCUUGA